rnacentral:rRNA from 1 species
UAACCUGCCUUGGAGUGGGGAAUAACAGUUGGAAACAACUGCUAAUACCGCAUGAUGCAGUUGGGUCGCAUGGCUCUGACUGCCAAAGAUUUAUCGCUCUGAGAUGGACUCGCGUCUGAUUAGCUAGUUGGUGAGGUAACGGCUCACCAAGGCGACGAUCAGUAGCCGGACUGAGAGGUUGGCCGGCCACAUUGGGACUGAGACACGGCCCAGACUCCUACGGAAGGCAGCAG